ACAUGCUUACAACAUAGUGUUAAUGCACAUGAUCCCAUUAGAAAUCCCCAGUUAGGCGUGCUUGAGCUAGAGUAGUACUGGGAUGGGUGACCGCCCAGGAAUUCCUAGUGUUUUACAUGCC
rfam:Picea glauca, whole genome shotgun sequence.